UACGUAGGGUGCAAGCGUUAAUCGGAAUUACUGGGCGUAAAGCGUGCGCAGGCGGUUUUGCAAGACAGAUGUGAAAUCCCCGGGCUCAACCUGGGAACUGCAUUUGUAACUGCAUGGCUAGAGUGCGGCAGAGGGGGAUGGAAUUCCGCGUGUAGCAGUGAAAUGCGUAGAUAUGCGGAGGAACACCGAUGGCGAGGGCAGUCCCCUGGGCCUGCACUGACGCUCAUGCACGAAAGCGUGGGGAGCAAACAGG
rnacentral:rRNA from 1 species